AAUUAUGCCAAAUUACACAGUCCUAACCCUUGCCAUACAGCAAUUACAGUUGAUACCAUGAAAGUGAACAAGACAUCAGACACUGUAUAAUGAAGAAAACCCUAUACAUAUGAUAGCCUUCCACGUCAACAUCUAGAAUGAAAUACUGCAGCCUCGCAAUCUGAAUGUGAAUACUGCUCUGAAAGAUUGUUUUAAUUCGUGAAGCAUUAGGAUACAUGUGUUUGGAUUACAUCCGGUGAGAUGGAACAUCACACCGAAAACACCGCAAAAGAUAAAACAAUAGCAGCGUUUAUGGCAAACAAAAGUAAACAGUAGCGGUAUUUUUUCAUAAAUACCGCUAAAAGUAAAACAAUAGCAACCUUUAUGAGAAAAAUUUUUAAGAACCUAACCGUUUUUGCUAGGCUUAGUUUUAUCCCCAAAUUCCUUAACAUUUUCCCCUAAAAUUUUUCCCAAAUCUCUUUUUUUUUUUCCCUAGAAUUUCUGGUUCUGCCAUUUUGUCACCUAUGUCGCAUGCUUGUAACUUACUUAGCGUUUGAUGCCUGGCCGCAUAGAUGGUAUAUAUGAUCGGUUUGUGGAUACCCUUGCUAUUCAUGGAUUUUUCUUUCUGUGCAAGGAAUCGGGUACCAGAAAUGAGGUAUUAAUUGGACAGCGGAUCAAAGCAUGGUCUGCCUUUGAUAGCUGUUUCUAUUCAGGCACCGUGGAUGACUUUAACCCAGAAAAAACAACACUCACAAGAUUACAUGUGAUAGUGGGGAAGUUGAAAUAUUAUGCUUGGACAGUGAGAGCUGGGAGACAAUAAGUAACUGUUCUUUGAUGGAUAGGGAGGUUCAACCAUCAGAUGAGCAAAACACCUUGCAUUCACGGCAAUGUGUCAAAGACACAGUUGAUAAGUUAAGAAGUGAUGCCAGGCAAGAGUCUAAGACAAAAUUAAAUAUGGAGGAUAGCAAGGUUCCUUGCAGAGGUUUGCCAGAAUUUUUGGGUAACACUAAUAUUGGAUUAAAGAGAAUGGGAGAGCUUGAUCCAAAGGCUUUUCAUGACACUUGUAAGUCGCGAUUUCCUCCUGAUGAAGCGGAAAUUCAGGCCACUACUCUAUGCUUAUCAUGGCAGGAGAAUCUGAAGAAUCUAGAUUGGCAUCCAAUUUUCAGAAGAAACUAACAAAUCUAAAGCUGGAAUGGGGUGAAGAGAUUUAUAAUGCAGUGGUAACAGCUUUGAAAGAACUCUUUUGUAAUAACUUAUUGUAGUAUGCUUAUAGUUGAAGUUUCUUAUACUGAACAUCAUGUUGUUUAUUCGGCAGAAGUUUCAAAGAUUUUAGUUUUAGAAGAAAGUAUAUACUAAGAUUUUAGUUUUAGAAGAAAGUAUGUACUGUAGUCAUUAGCUUGGGUUUUCAAAGAUGAUUAUGUUAACAUUUUGAUCAAACAUUAUAAACAGUUCUCUAGUUAAUGUUUUUGAACUCAAAAACAAUUUAAAA